rnacentral:rRNA from 1 species
UACAGAGGGCAGCUACCCAGCGAUGGGAUGCGAAUCUCGAAAGCCUGUCUCAGUUCGGAUUGGAGGCUGAAACCCGCCUCCAUGAAGUUGGAUUCGCUAGUAAUCGCGCAUCAGCCAUGGCGCGGUGAAUACGUUCCCGGGCCUUGUACACACCGCCCGUCAAGCCAUGGAAGCUGGGGGUGCCUGAAGUUCGUGACCGGAAGGAGCGACCUAGGGCAAAACCGGUGACUGGGGCUAAGUCGUAACAAGGUAUC